CAUCGCUUUUAACGUGAGGAUAUUUUCAAUAACUGCCAUUCAUGCUUUACUCCAGAAUAAACUCUCAUCCUAUUCCUUUAAAAUACAUACAUUGAAAAGGAAAGAAAUAGGUACUGGCCCCAGUGCUACGUGCACUCAUUCUAGACAGCAGUCACGGCAGGAAGAACUAUCAGUGCCGCACAGCUCAACUAACAGUGAUGGCAUAGCCAUCCUGUUCCUACCUCACAUCAUGCCAUCAGGUGCCUGCAGAUGACAGCCUCCUCCUGCCAUAUUUGAAUUAAGAUGUAGAACUCUAGGACUCUAGGCUCCUCCAGUGCCAUGUCUGCCGGAAUACUGCCAUGCUUCCCAACAUGAUGAUAACAGAGUGAACAUCUGAACUGUAAGCCAACCCCAAUUAAAUGUUGUCUUUAUAGGA